rnacentral:rRNA from 1 species
ACGCUGGCUACAGGCUUAACACAUGCAAGUCGAGGGGAAACGGCGUUGAGUGCUCGCACUCUUCGGACGUCGACCGGCGCACGGGUGAGUAACGCGUAUCCAACCUUCCCGUCACUGCGGGAUAACCUGCCGAAAGGCAGACUAAUACCGCAUGGCCUUCACUGACGGCAUCAGAGGUGAAGUAAAGCUUUUUAGCGGUGACGGACGGGGAUGCGUCUGAUUAGCUGGUUGGCGGGGCGACGGCCCACCAAGGCAACGAUCAGUAGGGGUUCUGAGAGGAAGGUCCCCCACAUUGGAACUGAGACACGGUCCAAACUCCUACGAGAGGCAGCAGUGAGGAAUAUUGGUCAAUGGGCGGAAGCCUGAACCAGCCAAGUAGCGUGCAGGAUGACGGCCCUACGGGUUGUAAACUGCUUUUAUGCGGGGAUAAAGUGAGGGACGCGUCCCUUUUUGCAGGUACCGCAUGAAUAAGGACCGGCUAAUUCCGUGCCAGCAGCCGCGGUAAUACGGAAGGUCCGGGCGUUAUCCGGAUUUAUUGGGUUUAAAGGGAGCGUAGGCCGGGGAUUAAGUGUGUUGUGAAAUGUAGGCGCUCAACGUCUGAUGUGCAGCGCAUACUGGUUCCCUUGAGUACGCGCAACGCCGGCGGAAUUCGUCGUGUAGCGGUGAAAUGCUUAGAUAUGACGAAGAACCCCGAUUGCGAAGGCAGCCGGCGGGAGCGCAACUGACGCUGAAGCUCGAAGGUGCGGGUAUCGAACAGGAUUAGAUACCCUGGUAGUCCGCACGGUAAACGAUGGAUGCCCGCUCUCGGCGCCUGGCGCCGGGGGCCAAGCGAAAGCGUUAAGCAUCCCACCUGGGGAGUACGCCGGCAACGGUGAAACUCAAAGGAAUUGACGGGGGCCCGCACAAGCGG